rnacentral:rRNA from 1 species
UACGUAGGGCGCAAGCGUUGUCCGGAAUUAUUGGGCGUAAAGAGCUCGUAGGUGGUUUGUCGCGUCUGCCGUGAAAACCCGAGGCUUAACCUCGUGGCUUGCGGUGGAUACGGGCAGACUAGAGGUAGGUAGGGGAGAAUGGAAUUCCCGGUGUAGCGGUGAAAUGCGCAGAUAUCGGGAGGAACACCGAUGGCGAAGGCGGUCUCUGGGCCUUACCUGACGCUGAGGAGCGAAAGCGUGGGAG